UACGUAGGGUGCGAGCGUUUGUCCGGAAUUAUUGGGCGUAAAGAGCUCGUAGGCGGUGUGUCACGUCGGCCGUGAAAACCUGCAGCUUAACUGUGGGCGUGCGGUCGAUACGGGCAUCACUGGAGUUCGGCAGGGGAGACUGGAAUUCCUGGUGUAGCGGUGAAAUGCGCAGAUAUCAGGAGGAACACCGGUGGCGAAGGCGGGGUCUCUGGGGCCCGAUACUGACGCUGAGGAGCGAAAGCGUGGGGAGCGAACAGG
rnacentral:rRNA from 1 species